rnacentral:rRNA from 1 species
UACGUAGGGGGCAAGCGUUGUUCGGAAUUACGUGGGCGUAAAGGGCGCGUAGGCGGCAUGGCAAGUCAGGAGUGAAAGGCCUGGGCUCAACCGAGGAACUGCUUUUGAUACUGCCAAGCUAGAGUGCGGAAGGGGCAACUGGAAUUCCCAGUGUAGCGGUGAAAUGACGUAGAUAUUGGGAAGAACACCUGGAGGCGAAGGCGGGUUGCUGGGCCGACACUGACGCUGAGGCGCGAAAAGCCAGGGGGAGCAAACGGGG